rnacentral:lncRNA from 7 species
CCCAGCUGAAAUGGGAUAGAGUUUAUUGAUGGGCUUUCCUUCUGGAUUCCAUUGGCUUGAAGAGGUGGGGAUCUGUAAAGGACCGAUCAUAGAGGUUGGGUGAAAAGAAAAGUCUGAGACAGAUUUAAAUUUCUCAGCCAGUUGUGUUGCCUCUGUCAAGCCCUGAUGCUUGAUGCACUUCUCCUGUACCAGCCCUGCACUGGAGCAGGGCCUCCUCUCUGCUGUACAAGACAGUGUUUUCUCCUGCCCCUGGCACAGCACGGCUGGCAGAACUCAUGUAUUGGUGCAGCUCUCUUCCAUCCUCUUCUUUUCCAGGCUCCAUCUCUCCCCACUACUUGCUAUGUUUUGGCAGCACAGUCGCCACUCAGCAGCUUUAUUUCUGGUACUGGAAAAGAACAGGGUUCUCUGUGGAAUAGAGGCAUUCACUGCAAUAUUGCACUGUGGGCUGUUUCAUUUAUCAUCUUGGUAAUUUUUCUUUAAUUAAUGGGGUGAAACUAUCAGAGAUGAUUGCAUUUUACAAGAUUUCAAUUUCCAUUAGUAAUAAACAUUAAAGAUAUGGAGCAGUACACUGUAUGUGUAUGCACAACUAUUUCCUGUACUUACGAUAUUACUGUAUCUUUUUUAUCAGCUUUUUAUUAGAGCUAAAUCCAACAACAGAAAUAAGUAUAAUCUUUUAGAUGAGUUAAUCUUAGGGAAUCUCAUAUUGUUUUCUUUUAAUGCUUUUUUUUUAAUCUUAGACAUGAAAACCUAUCUCUUGUGGUUUAACCAGGCAGGUAGCUCAGUACCAUACAGCCAGUCACUUACUUUCCCCAGGUGGGAUGAGCUAGAGAAUUGGAAAUGUUAAAGUUCAAGAACUCAUGGAUAGUUCUCAUGGACAAAGACAAUUUAAUUGGUAAAGCAAAAGCUUCAUGCAUAAGCAAAGCAAAACAGAGAAUUAAUUCAUGACUUCCCAUUGGCAGACAGAUAUUCGGCACUCCCAGGAAACUGGGGCUCAUCAUGUAUAAUAGUGUCUUGCAAGACCAGCACUGUCAGCCUGAAUGUCCCACCCUUCCUCCUUCAUUACCCCAGCUUUUAUUGCUGAGUGUGAUGUGGUACAAGCUAUCCCUUUGGCAAGUUUGGGUCAGCUGUCCUGGUUCUGUCCCCUGCCAGCUCCUUGCUGACAGGGCCGUGUGAGAAUCUGCAAAGUCCCUGAUUUAGUAUAAGCACAGUUAAAACAUCAGUGUGUUAUCAAUGCUAUUUUCAUCAAACAUCUAAAACUAGCGCCCUACAAACCUGUAUGAAGAAAAUGAACUCUAUUCCAGAGAAAACAGCACCUGAAGCAGCCUUCUAGCUUCUGUAGAGAAAAACAAGCAGGAAUUUGAUAGCAGCAUGAGGAUCACAUCUGUGUCUCCCUUCCAGGAGUCACCAGAAUAAAUCUGAAUUGUGGAGCAACAGAAGACGUAAAAUAGAAGACUUUCAUCUAUGAAAGCUCAUAGAUGGCUGCAUGUGGAAUUUGGUAGUUACAAAGUUACAGAACAGUGCAAUAAGUCUAAAAUUUGAAUUUUUGAAAUACUGACAAUACUCCCACAGAAGUCAUUAACACUUCUGUUCAAAAGAUGGACAUUAUUUUGCAGGUCUGUUUUGCAUGUUUGUAUAAUGUCUUCUGUUUCACAGUGUUCUAUUAUGGGGCUGCUAGCUGGACUGCUGACCUCAUCUCUGGGUCUGCAUGACUGUGAUAUGAUAUGAUACAGAACAAAAUGUCUGUAAUAUCUGUAUCCUACAGAGCAUUAACUACAAUUAGAGUGUCAGUUUAGUUU